CAGUCUGACGGAGCACGCCGCGUGAGUGAUGAAGGCUUUUGGGUCGUAAACCUUUUUUCGGAGGGAAGAACGAGUGCUAGGGGAUUAAGGUGGCCGCUUGACGGUACCUAAGAAGAAAGCCACGGUAACAACUUUCCCGCCGCGCUGUAAUUCUUAGGAGGUCAGGGUUUUCCGGAACUCCUUCGCGUUAAGUCCGCGCAGGUGGUUUCUUAAGUCUGAUGUGAAAGCCCACGGCUCAACCGUGGAGGGUCAUUGGAAACUGGGAGACUUGAGUGCAGAAGAGGAAAGUGGAAUUCCAUGUGUAGCGGUGAAAUGCGUAGAGAUAUGGAGGAACACCAGUGGCGAAGGCGACUUUCUGGUCUGUAACUGACACUGAGGCGCGAAAGCGUGGGGAGCAAACAGGAUUAGAUACCCUGGUAGUCCACGCCGUAAACGAUGAGUGCUAAGUGUUAGAGGGUUUCCGCCCUUUAGUGCUGAAGUUAACGCAUUAAGCACUCCGCCUGGGGAGUACGGCCGCAAGGCUGAACUCAAAGG
rnacentral:rRNA from 1 species